rnacentral:rRNA from 1 species
AACGAACGCUGGCGGCAGGCUUAACACAUGCAAGUCGAGCGCAUCCUUCGGGGUGAGCGGCGGACGGGUGAGUAACGCGUGGGAACGUGCCCUCUUCUACGGAAUAGCCCAGGGAAACUUGGAUUAAUGCCGUAUACGCCCUUCGGGGGAAAGAUUUAUCGGAGGAGGAUCGGCCCGCGUUGGAUUAGGUAGUUGGUGAGGUAACGGCUCACCAAGCCGACGAUCCAUAGCUGGUUUGAGAGGAUGAUCAGCCACACUGGGACUGAGACACGGCCCAGACUCCUACGGGAGGCAGCAGUGGGGAAUCUUGGACAAUGGGGGAAACCCUGAUCCAGCCAUGCCGCGUGAUCGAUGAAGGCCUUAGGGUUGGAAAGAUCUUUCAGCUGGGAAGAUAAUGACGGUACCAGCAGAAGAAGCCCCGGCUAACUCCGUGCCAGCCGCCGCCGUAACAC